GACGAACCGUGCGAACGUUGUUCGGAAUCACUGGGCUUAAAGGGCGCGUAGGCGGGUCACCAAGUCUGGGGUGAAAUCCUCCGGCUUAACCGGAGAAUUGCCUGAGAUACUGGUGGUCUUGAGGGAGGUAGGGGCACGCGGAACUUCCGGUGGAGCGGUGAAAUGCGUUGAUAUCGGAAGGAACGCCGGUGGCGAAAGCGGCGUGCUGGCCCUCUUCUGACGCUGAGGCGCGAAAGCCAGGGGAG
rnacentral:rRNA from 1 species